rnacentral:rRNA from 1 species
CAGGCAGAUCCUCUUCGGAGGUGACGCCUGUGGAACGAGCGGCGGACGGGUGAGUAACACGUGGGCAACCUGCCUGUAAGAUUGGGAUAACCCCGGGAAACCGGGGCUAAUACCGGAUAAUACUUUUCGUUGCAUAACGAGAAGUUGAAAGGCGGCUUUUAGCUGUCACUUACAGAUGGGCCCGCGGCGCAUUAGCUAGUUGGUAAGGUAACGGCUUACCAAGGCGACGAUGCGUAGCCGACCUGAGAGGGUGAUCGGCCACACUGGGACUGAGACACGGCCCAGACUCCUACGGGAGGCAGCAGUAGGGAAUCUUCCGCAAUGGACGAAAGUCUGACGGAGCAACGCCGCGUGAGUGAUGAAGGUUUUCGGAUCGUAAAACUCUGUUGUCAGGGAAGAACAAGUGCCGUUCGAAUAGGGCGGCACCUUGACGGUACCUGACCAGAAAGCCCCGGCUAACUACGUGCCAGCAGCCGCGGUAAUACGUAGGGGGCAAGCGUUGUCCGGAAUUAUUGGGCGUAAAGCGCGCGCAGGCGGUCCUUUAAGUCUGAUGUGAAAGCCCACGGCUUAACCGUGGAGGGCCAUUGGAAACUGGAGGACUUGAGUACAGAAGAGGAGAGUGGAAUUCCACGUGUAGCGGUGAAAUGCGUAGAGAUGUGGAGGAACACCAGUGGCGAAGGCGACUCUCUGGUCUGUAACUGACGCUGAGGUGCGAAAGCGUGGGGAGCGAACAGGAUUAGAUACCCUGGUAGUCCACGCCGUAAACGAUGAGUGCUAGGUGUUAGGGGGUUUCCGCCCCUUAGUGCUGAAGUUAACGCAUUAAGCACUCCGCCUGGGGAGUACGGCCGCAAGGCUGAAACUCAAAAGAAUUGACGGGGGCCCGCACAAUCGGUGGAGCAUGUGGUUUAAUUCGAAGCAACGCGAAGAACCUUACCAGGUCUUGACAUCCUCUGCCAAUCCUAGAGAUAGGAGGUUCCCUUCGGGGAAGGAAUGACAGGUGGUGCAUGGUGUCGUCAGCU